rnacentral:rRNA from 1 species
UUAAGCGACUAAGCGUACACGGUGGAUGCCCUGGCAGUCAGAGGCGAUGAAGGGCGUGCUAAUCUGCGAUAAGCGCCGGUAAGGUGAUAUGAACCGUUAUAACCGGCGAUACCCGAAUGGGGAAACCCAGUGUGAUUCGUCACACUAUCAUUAACUGAAUCCAUAGGUUAAUGAGGCGAACCGGGGGAACUGAAACAUCUAAGUACCCCGAGGAAAAGAAAUCAACCGAGAUUCCCCCAGUAGCGGCGAGCGAACGGGGAGGAGCCCAGAGCCUGAAUCAGCAUGUGUGUUAGUGGAAGCGUCUGGAAAGGCGCGCGAUACAGGGUGACAGCCCCGUACACAAAAGCGCAUGUGCUGUGAGCUCGAUGAGUAGGGCGGGACACGUGGUAUCCUGUCUGAAUAUGGGGGGACCAUCCUCCAAGGCUAAAUACUCCUGACUGACCGAUAGUGAACCAGUACCGUGAGGGAAAGGCGAAAAGAACCCCGGCGAGGGGAGUGAAAAAGAACCUGAAACCGUGUACGUACAAGCAGUGGGAGCCCCACCACUAAGCCAGUGGUGAACUCCACAUACGCAUCCUUUGCUGAGGAUACGGUUAACGGAGCGCAAGCGACGUUCAACCGCAAAAGAAGCAGAGGGGGCUUAGUGGUGGGGUGACUGCGUACCUUUUGUAUAAUGGGUCAGCGACUUAUAUUCUGUAGCAAGGUUAACCGUAUAGGGGAGCCGGAGGGAAACCGAGUCUUAACCGGGCGUUAAGUUGCAGGGUAUAGACCCGAAACCCGGUGAUCUAGCCAUGGGCAGGUUGAAGGUUGGGUAACACUAACUGGAGGACCGAACCGACUAAUGUUGAAAAAUUAGCGGAUGACCUGUGGCUGGGGGUGAAAGGCCAAUCAAACCGGGAGAUAGCUGGUUCUCCCCGAAAGCUAUUUAGGUAGCGCCUCGUGAAUUCAUCUCCGGGGGUAGAGCACUGUUUCGGCUAGGGGGCCAUCCCGGCUUACCAACCCGAUGCAAACUGCGAAUACCGGAGAAUGUUAUCACGGGAGACACACGGCGGGUGCUAACGUCCGUCGUGAAGAGGGAAACAACCCAGACCGCCAGCUAAGGUCCCAAAGUCAUGGUUAAGUGGGAAACGAUGUGGGAAGGCCCAGACAGCCAGGAUGUUGGCUUAGAAGCAGCCAUCAUUUAAAGAAAGCGUAAUAGCUCACUGGUCGAGUCGGCCUGCGCGGAAGAUGUAACGGGGCUAAACCAUGCACCGAAGCUGCGGCAGCGACACUAUGUGUUGUUGGGUAGGGGAGCGUUCUGUAAGCCUGCGAAGGUGACCUGUGAGGGUUGCUGGAGGUAUCAGAAGUGCGAAUGCUGACAUAAGUAACGAUAAAGCGGGUGAAAAGCCCGCUCGCCGGAAGACCAAGGGUUCCUGUCCAACGUUAAUCGGGGCAGGGUGAGUCGACCCCUAAGGCGAGGCCGAAAGGCGUAGUCGAUGGGAAACGGGUUAAUAUUCCCGUACUUGGUGUUACUGCGAAGGGGGGACGGAGAAGGCUAUGUUGGCCGGGCGACGGUUGUCCCGGUUUAAGCGUGUAGGUGUGUGUUCCAGGUAAAUCCGGUUCACUUUAACACUGAGGCGUGAUGACGAGGCACUACGGUGCUGAAGCAACAAAUGCCCUGCUUCCAGGAAAAGCCUCUAAGCAUCAGGUAACAUCAAAUCGUACCCCAAACCGACACAGGUGGUCAGGUAGAGAAUACCAAGGCGCUUGAGAGAACUCGGGUGAAGGAACUAGGCAAAAUGGUGCCGUAACUUCGGGAGAAGGCACGCUGACAUGUAGGUGAAGUGAUUUACUCAUGGAGCUGAAGUCAGUCGAAGAUACCAGCUGGCUGCAACUGUUUAUUAAAAACACAGCACUGUGCAAACACGAAAGUGGACGUAUACGGUGUGACGCCUGCCCGGUGCCGGAAGGUUAAUUGAUGGGGUCAGCGCAAGCGAAGCUCCUGAUCGAAGCCCCGGUAAACGGCGGCCGUAACUAUAACGGUCCUAAGGUAGCGAAAUUCCUUGUCGGGUAAGUUCCGACCUGCACGAAUGGCGUAAUGAUGGCCAGGCUGUCUCCACCCGAGACUCAGUGAAAUUGAACUCGCUGUGAAGAUGCAGUGUACCCGCGGCAAGACGGAAAGACCCCGUGAACCUUUACUAUAGCUUGACACUGAACAUUGAGCCUUGAUGUGUAGGAUAGGUGGGAGGCUUUGAAGUGUGGACGCCAGUCUGCAUGGAGCCGGCCUUGAAAUACCACCCUUUAAUGUUUGAUGUUCUAACGUGGACCCGUGAUCCGGGUUGCGGACAGUGUCUGGUGGGUAGUUUGACUGGGGCGGUCUCCUCCUAAAGAGUAACGGAGGAGCACGAAGGUUGGCUAAUCCUGGUCGGACAUCAGGAGGUUAGUGCAAUGGCAUAAGCCAGCUUGACUGCGAGCGUGACGGCGCGAGCAGGUGCGAAAGCAGGUCAUAGUGAUCCGGUGGUUCUGAAUGGAAGGGCCAUCGCUCAACGGAUAAAAGGUACUCCGGGGAUAACAGGCUGAUACCGCCCAAGAGUUCAUAUCGACGGCGGUGUUUGGCACCUCGAUGUCGGCUCAUCACAUCCUGGGGCUGAAGUAGGUCCCAAGGGUAUGGCUGUUCGCCAUUUAAAGUGGUACGCGAGCUGGGUUUAGAACGUCGUGAGACAGUUCGGUCCCUAUCUGCCGUGGGCGCUGGAGAACUGAGGGGGGCUGCUCCUAGUACGAGAGGACCGGAGUGGACGCAUCACUGGUGUUCGGGUUGUCAUGCCAAUGGCACUGCCCGGUAGCUAAAUGCGGAAGAGAUAAGUGCUGAAAGCAUCUAAGCACGAAACUUGCCCCGAGAUGAGUUCUCCCUGAGACUUAGAGUCUCCUGAAGGAACGUUGAAGACGACGACGUUGAUAGGCCGGGUGUGUAAGCGCAGCGAUGCGUUGAGCUAACCGGUACUAAUGAACCGUGAGGCUUAACCUU